rnacentral:tRNA from 3 species
GGGAGCUUAGCUCAGCUGGUUCAGAGCAUCUGCCUUACAAGCAGAGGGUCACAGGUUCGAAUCCUGUAGCUCCCA